rnacentral:rRNA from 1 species
AGUGAACGCUGGCGGUAGGCCUAACACAUGCAAGUCGAACGGCAGCACAGUAAGAGCUUGCUCUUACGGGUGGCGAGUGGCGGACGGGUGAGUAAUACAUCGGAAUCUACUUUUUCGUGGGGGAUAACGUAGGGAAACUUACGCUAAUACCGCAUACGACCUACGGGUGAAAGCAGGGGAUCUUCGGACCUUGCGCGAAUGAAUGAGCCGAUGUCGGAUUAGCUAGUUGGCGGGGUAAAGGCCCACCAAGGCGACGAUCCGUAGCUGGUCUGAGAGGAUGAUCAGCCACACUGGAACUGAGACACGGUCCAGACUCCUACGGGAGGCAGCAGUGGGGAAUAUUGGACAAUGGGCGCAAGCCUGAUCCAGCCAUACCGCGUGGGUGAAGAAGGCCUUCGGGUUGUAAAGCCCUUUUGUUGGGAAAGAAAAGCAGCAGGUUAAUACCCCGCUGUUCUGACGGUACCCAAAGAAUAAGCACCGGCUAACUUCGUG